GACGUAGGGCGCGAGCGUUGUUCCGGAUUUAUUGGGCGUAAAGAGCUCGUAGGCGGCUUGUCGCGUCGACUGUGAAAACCCGCAGCUCAACUGCGGGCCUGCAGUCGAUACGGGCAGGCUAGAGUUCGGUAGGGGAGACUGGAAUUCCUGUGUAGCGGUGAAAUGCGCAGAUAUCAGGAGGAACACCGGUGGCGAAGGCGGGUCUCUGGGCAGUAACUGACGCUGAGGAGCGAAAGCGUGGGGAGCGAACAGG
rnacentral:rRNA from 1 species